rnacentral:ncRNA from 1 species
AAUCAAGCGCGAGAAGGGCGUUUGGUGAAUGCCUUGGCAGUAAGAGGCGAUGAAGGACGUGAUACUCUGCGAUAAGCUUGGGGGAGCCGAGAAUAGGCUUUGAUCCCAGGAUCUCCGAAUGGGGCAACCCACUUGAUACUCUGUUAUUGUUAGCAUCACGCUGAUCAAUAACCGGGUAAACCAAGUACUUAAUACCUGAAUACAUAGGGUUUUAAGAGCGAACCCGGGGAACUGAAACAUCUAAGUACCCGGAGGAAAGGAAAUCAACAGAUACUCCCCUAGUAGCGGCGAGCGAACGGGGACCAGCCGAGCCUUGAGAGUGACCAGAACAAUCUGGAAAGAUUGACCAUAGUGGGUGACAGUCCCGUAUGGGAAGCUCGAUAGGACGUAUUAAGUAGGGCGGGACACGUGAAAUCCUGUCUGAACAUCGGAGGACCACCUUCGAAGGCUAAGUACUCCUUACUGACCGAUAGUGAACCAGUACCGUGAGGGAAAGGUGAAAAGCACCCCGACGAGGGGAGUGAAACAGUACCUGAAACCGAACGCCUACAAUCAGUCGGAGGCUCCUUGCGAGCUGACGGCGUACCUUUUGUAUAAUGGGUCAUCGACUUGGUCUCACGAGCAAGCUUAAGCCGUUAGGUGUAGGCGCAGCGAAAGCGAGUCUUAAUAGGGCGAAUGAGUUCGUGGGAUCAGACCCGAAACCGAGUGAUCUAGGCAUGACCAGGCUGAAGGUAAGGUAACACUUACUGGAGGGCCGAACCCACACCUGUUGAAAAAGGUCGGGAUGAGUUGUGCCUAGGGGUGAAAGGCCAAUCAAACUCGGAGAUAGCUGGUUCUCUGCGAAAUCUAUUUAGGUAGAGCGUCAUCCGAAUACCCCGGGGGGUAGAGCACUGGAUGGGUAAUGGGGCCCCACAGGCUUACUGAUCCUAACCAAACUCCGAAUACCCGGGAGUACUAGAUGGCAGACACACUGCGGAUGCUAACGUCCGUAGUGGAGAGGGAAACAACCCUGACCUCCAGCUAAGGCCCCUAAUUCAUGGCUAAGUGGGAAAGCAGGUGGGACGACCAAAACAACCAGGAGGUUGGCUUAGAAGCAGCCAUCCUUUAAAGAUAGCGUAACAGCUCACUGGUCUAAAUAAGUUGUCCUGCGGCGAAGAUGUAACGGGGCUCAAGCCAUGAGCCGAAGCUGAGGAUGCACAUAGUGCAUGGUAGCAGAGCGUAGUGUGACAUAGUUCCAUGCGUCUUUAACCUUCGUCAUCGAAGGU